rnacentral:rRNA from 1 species
GCAAUUAUACGGCGAAACUGCGAAUGGCUCAUUAAAUCAGUUAUCGUUUAUUUGAUAGUACCUUACUACUUGGAUAACCGUGGUAAUUCUAGAGCUAAUACAUGCUAAAAAUCCCGACUCGCGGAGGGAUGUAUUUAUUAGAUUAAAAACCAAUGCCCUUCGGGGCUCCUUGGUGAUUCAUAAUAACUUCUCGAAUCGCAUGGCCUUGUGCCGGCGAUGGUUCAUUCAAAUUUCUGCCCUAUCAACUUUCGAUGGCAGGGUCUUGGCCUGCCAUGGUUACAACGGGUAACGGAGGGUUAGGGCUCGACCCCGGAGAAGGAGCCUGAGAAACGGCUACUACAUCCAAGGAAGGCAGCAGGCGCGCAAAUUACCCAAUCCCGAUUCGGGGAGGUAGUGACAAUAAAUACUGAUACAGGGCUCUUUCGGGUCUUGUAAUUGGAAUGAGUACAAUUUAAAUCCCUUAACGAGGAACAAUUGGAGGGCAAGUCUGGUGCCAGCAGCCGCGGUAAUUCCAGCUCCAAUAGCGUAUAUUAAAGUUGUUGCAGUUAAAAAGCUCGUAGUUGAACCUUGGGCCUGGCUGGCCGGUCCGCCUCACCGCGUGCACUGGUUCGGCCGGGCCUUUCCCUCUGGGGAUCCCCAUGCCCUUCACUGGGUGUGGUGGGGAACCAGGACUUUUACUGUGAAAAAAUUAGAGUGUUCAAAGCAGGCCUAUGCUCGAAUACAUUAGCAUGGAAUAAUAGAAUAGGACGUGCGGUUCUAUUUUGUUGGUUUCUAGGACCGCCGUAAUGAUUAAUAGGGACAGUCGGGGGCAUCAGUAUUCAAUUGUCAGAGGUGAAAUUCUUGGAUUUAUUGAAGACUAACUACUGCGAAAGCAUUUGCCAAGGAUGUUUUCAUUAAUCAGGAACGAAAGUUAGGGGAUCGAAGACGAU